UAAGAUGUACUCCAUUCUUUAAAAUGUCUC
rnacentral:piRNA from 1 species